AGUCCCUGGGCACCUCCCGUGUGCAAAAAGGAGUGAAAGCUGGUUUAUAUAUCAUUUUUUAGGUAAAUGUCUGAAGUGUCAGAAAAUUUUGGGUGGACGUGCCGCGUAAUGGUGCCUGUACCACAUGACUUUUUCGGCUUUGUGUGGGAAAAUCGGAUGUCAACAAACCAUCGCUUCAGACUUGACAAGGAUUAGUCGAAGGAUUUGUAACGCUUUAAGGCGCGAAGCUGUGUUAGAAUUAGAUGAACACCAUCAAACCACACGGAAGGUGUUAUGCGUCAAGUUAAUUAUCAAAACCACAGUGACAGAGACGGACCCAGCUUCAUUCUGUGAUGUUUACCACCGAUAACCUAAUCCGAUAAUUGGACUUAUUCAAGCUGGCUAUAUCACGAACCAGUAAUAACACCAAUUAAAUAAAUACAAUCGUCCCUGACACCUCGCAGUCGAUUUGGAUUAGAUGAGAUUAGAUUAGACUGGUAGCAUACACAUCAUAUGUCAGAACAGAGUAAAAAACGAAAGGGGGGGGCAGAAACGUACCAAGGACGACGCCUCUCCUAAUUAUUCAAACGACCAGCCAGAAAAGUGCGUGAUAAUGUCAACCAGUCGCCGGAAGCAUCAGCCACUGCACAGCUGACUGCACAGCUGACUGGUGUCGGGCCACCAACACAAGCUGCGAAUGGAGGGCAAUAUUACCCACCACAUCUGCAAUUCAUGACGCCACAGAACUAUACUUACCCUGGCUAUCAAAGCACGCCACAAUAUCCGGUUACGUCACAAACACCUACAGAAAACCAAUCUCAAACACCUCAGUGGGCAAAAUCUUUAAUAGAAGCCAUUGAAAGCAUAAAGCUAUCAGUGGCAAAAAUGGACGAAAUUGAAAAGUUUCUGAAUAAGUUGAAUGUCACGUAAUCGUUCAUAGUUCAUGGACGACACAUAAUUACUAGCAAUGUUCAUUACUCUUAAAUUACUGGUGUAUAGCCUAUCAUUCGAUAUCUCGUCAUGCGCGUAUUGCCAAGAUGACGAGAUUUGCAUUAACUACCAUUUUCUCGUGUCACGCAUGGGACAAGUCGGUCCCUCUCUAUUAAUGUUGGUUUCUCUGCAUAAUAUAGGAUAAAAUAUUCAACAACACCAUAUAUCAGUUUCUAAUCCAAUUUAAUGUCUGACUUAACUAAUAUUUUAGUGAUACAAAUACGUUGUAAUUGCUACAUGAUUGUGUCUUUUCCAUCUGUCUACCUCUAGGUCUAAACGCUAACUGACCAUCUCCCUCUAACAUUUGCCCCGUGAAACUCAGUUAUGAAUCCCAUUGGUCAGUGUUCUAUGCGUGGUUGUUUCUGAUUGGAUACAUUACUUAAGAUACUGAAUCAAUGAAGCCCUGGGAACGGGAUAAACAAACCACUAAAAUAUUUACAAGCUUAAUCCAACCUUUUGAUGAGAGAUUUAACUGAAUAAACACUAUUGCCUGACCAAUACAAACAUACCUGGCCUUGUGUCAACUAUACUAUUCUUUAAUCUCUCCCUCAUCGAUAAGCUUAUUUGAAUAUAUGUGCACUUUGUGACUGUCAUGUUUACUGGCUCUUUUGAUAAAACUUUCAAUAUUUCUUACAUGAGGUAAACCCACAUAUUCCACCUACAAUUUCUAACCAUAAUGUGACACAACUUAUCCCCUCAAUUUGAUUUUUAUGUAUUUUAGGAUACAGAAAAAUCUUUAAGAAUUUAAGUAUGGAAGUAAACGAAAACAUAUUAACACAUACGAUGAAAAAAUCAAACACGCAAACAUGAAAUCAUCAGUGACUAAAACAUAUAUAUGAUGAAAAUCUGCAAAUUAUUAAUGAAAUUUUUUUUACGAAUGUUUCUGCUGAAAUAAUAAAACGUCGGAAUAUUUAAAUAGUCAAUGUCAAUCACAAUGAAGUGGAAUGCGUCACUGAUUUGGGAAAUCCAAUACGAAUAGUGUCCAUUUUUGACAUCUUUGUUGGAGGCGAUGUGGCGUCUUGGUGAAGAGAUGAGACGUCCGGUUGGAGAGUAUGUGACAUCUGGUUGUAGAUGGUAACAUGAAGUCGAUUGAAGACGGCGGCUUCCGAAUGAAGACGAUGAUUGUCAGUCGGAGAAGCUGUUGGUCCUCGGUUGUCGCACGAUUUAUAAUACUUCAAACGUUUAUUAUAUAGAGUUCUGAAGAAUGACUGCGUUCAUGACUGUAGUAUUAUAAUAAUUGUUUAUGUACACGUAAUUAAGGUACACACAUAUAUAUAAGUUCAUAGACGAUAACAUUUUCACCUAAUAUAUGUACAAAGUACGCGCGAUUUUUCAUCAUCAAGUCCAUUCAUAUCAACGUAUCUUUAAAAAUCAUUUUCGACGAUGCGUGCAAUGUCCAUUAACAGUCCACUCGUUGUAUGGUACUGAUGCUGGUUCACAAUUUGGAUCAAUGUCGACAAUGUUGAUCCUAAUUGAAGCAGUCUGUGACUUCAUCUUAUCCUCGACGGAUACAUCGUCGUCGAAGAUAUCUGUAUGUCGAUGACAUAUUCUUGUUGUUUGUCGGGGCGUGAAGAUCUGAUCACGAUCUCAAAUGCGUUAUGAACGCAUGUUGCUGCAGGCAAACCACGCCAACUAUGUCAGGAGCGCUGUUUUUCUCCUUAACUUGUAUCGCAUUGGCAAAUCUUAUAGGGUCAAUUACAUAAAAUGAUAAACGGGCCUUCUAUUUACAUAUUUAUAGUGAAUGGAAUUUGCUAUAUUAGCACUCAGAUUACUUAUCACACCUGUGAUAAUAUACCCAAUUAAAAUUUAUGUGCUAAAGAAACGCUAUUCUCAUGACACAAAUUCAUUAUUUUUUACUUAAACUAUACGCAUUUGUCUACUCAAUAAAAUGCAUUGUGCUUUAUCAUGUUUUAUUUACUUAGAGAACAAAAAUUUACAAACAAAAUCCCUUGUCUUAAUGUAGUCAUUCUCAUAAAGAAACGAAAAAGAAUAAACUACAUAUACGAUCAGUAUCAAAAACUUAAUGAAUCAUAGCAAUAUAGUUGUAUCUUUUACAUUAUACUAAUAAAAGGUACAGUGCUUUGCUUUUAAGGAUAUUUACAAACUGUAUUAAAAUGUUACCUACGCUUAAAAUGGUGUUUACUUGAGCGCUGUAGGGCAUAAGCUAGCGUUAGUUAAUGUCGUUGUCAAGUGUGUUAUCAUAAGCUGGUCUACAAAAGCGUCGGUCAAUAGGAUUAGCUCGAUAUACUAAUUGGGUAUUUACCGUCCUUUGCGGCAGGUGUGGUCUUUUUGUCAUGUUUGUACCCGAUUGAGAUAUAUACACAAUUAUAACUUUGGGAACAGGAAACCUCAUUUCAUUAAGCAUACUUGAUCAUAUAACCAGAUGUUAUCUAUGGACAAACCUCAUUGUUAAUAUGAAACCUAACACUGCGAUAAUCUUGGGAAAUUGGAAUCACACUUAUAUAAUCAAUUCUUUAAAUUUCAUUAGUUUUACGAGCCUAAUUGUUUAUAUAGAGCUAAGACCAUAUCAACAGAUGUUCCCGAUAAUUGAAUUACAUUGGGGCAAUGAAACCAUAUUUGCAUAAUAAAUUAUUCAGACUUCAUUAUUUGGUGUGACAUAAAACUUUAUAUGGCCUGUACAAAUAAGAUUUUCUGUUGACCCCCUUCAUAUGUACCUUUACCACGAUAAAUGGGGUAAUAACAAUCCUAUAUGUCAAUAGGUUGACCUGUUCCGUAAAUCAAAUGUCUGUCAGUUAUAUAAUCCUUCAAUUUCCUAAUCUUAACAUAUGGUAUUAAACUUUUCAAUUUAUUUACCCCACCCUGGGUGUAAACGUAUUCGUGUUCAUACUUGAAAUAAAUCUUAAAUCGGGUCUUAGUUUAUGUAAAUAUCUCCCAAAAGUUUUAUUACGCUUCAGAGCUGGUUGCUAUUGCGCACGGAUAAUUGGCAUUUCACCCGUAUAUUAAAGUAUGACAUUUUCAUUUCAUUCUAAACCCGUAAAUCAAUGCUAAUGACGAUACAUUAUCAAAAUCGGACGAUACCGUCCUCUAUAAUCCUCUUUUUACAUAUUUAAUACAUAUACAUUCAAAACAUAUUUCUCUAUAUACACAUUUUGGGGGUCUUUAAGUCUCGACAUCUAUUCGCUUUGCUUUGUAGUCCAUUCAUUUAC